rnacentral:rRNA from 1 species
AUGGAUGCUUGUUUCUGGACUUACUUUUUGAGUUUUUGUCAAUUUUCCUCAUUUCAUUUAUUUAUUUUAAAGCUUCCUCGGAUAGACUUGUUGCAUGCCCAACAGAAGGAGACACAUCACUAUGUGCUUGCCUGGGCAGUGGUAGUUCUACUAUUUGGGCCUCUUUUGCUAAAUGUCAUUAAUAUCUUAUACGUACUGUUGGCCAUUGUUUUCUACACAAGAAAGCAAAUGCUAAAAACAUCUAGUGGUUUACCUAUGAUUAGGGUGAUGUCUGGGUUACAAGAUUUUGUUUCCAUUAUAAACUUUCUGCCUGGAGAACAUGAACAAUAA